UUUUAGGAAUCUUUUUAUCGGAGAUGAAUGUUGAGGGCUUGAUUAUUUCACUGAAAUUGAUUUUUGGAUUGAAAUGGAGUUCGAUAAAAAUUAUUUUUUUUCUACUAUUUAUUUCAUAAAAAAUAUAAAAUUAUUAUUUAUUCUUAGUAGAAAGGUAAUUAGCUGCAUGAUCUUAUUAUAUAUAUUACUCCUCAAUUUCAAUUACAGAUGUUAAUGGGUCAAAUUCGAAACGAAUUAUCAAUAACCCGAACCCCAACCCAACAAUCAAAUGCGAACUGAAUCCGACGGAGUUUAAAAAUCUAUAUUAAACCCGAACCCAACAAAAAAAUCGGAAAUCCAACCUAAACCCAAAAAUCUGAACCUAAAAUAAUUAUUUCUCUUUACCAUAUAUCAAAACAUAUUAUAUUAAAAUCUAAAAUUUUAAAAUGCAAAUUCUAAUGCUACAUCAAAUAUUCAUCUAUGUAUAAUAUAAUCUAUUCGGGUUCGGGACAAAAUCCAUAACCGAAAUC
rnacentral:lncRNA from 1 species